GCCCUCGUGGAUCAUGGUAGAUCAUCUUCAUCUACUUAAUAGUGAUAAUAUCACUUAUGAAGACAUCGUAGGUUCGACUCCUACCGAGGGCA